rnacentral:rRNA from 1 species
CAAUAGCGUAUAUUAACGUUGUUGCAGUUAAAAAGCUCGUAGUUGGAUUUCUGGAGGGAGCGUCGGCCCGUAUUUACGAGUGCGUGACGUCUCUGUCCAUCCUUGCGGGAAGGCACGGCAUUGAUUUGUUGUGUCGGAUCGCAUCAUUUACUGUGAAAAAAUUAGAGUGUUCAAAGCAGGCUUUCGCUUGAAUACAUUAGCAUGGAAUAAUAAGAUAAGACUUUGGUGCUAUUUUGUUGGUUGAGCCUAAAGUAAUGAUUAAUAGGGAUAGUUGGGGGCACCUGUAUUGCGUUGUCAGAGGUGAAAUUCUUGGAUUUACGCAAGACAAACAGCUGCGAAAGCGUCUGCCAAGGAUGUUUUCAUUAA